rnacentral:rRNA from 1 species
CACGUAGGGUGCGAGCGUUGUCCGGAAUUAUUGGGCGUAAAGAGCUCGUAGGCGGUGUGUCGCGUCGGCCGUGAAAACCUGCAGCUUAACUGUGGGCUUGCGGUCGAUACGGGCAUCACUGGAGUUCGGCAGGGGAGACUGGAAUUCCUGGUGUAGCGGUGAAAUGCGCAGAUAUCAGGAGGAACACCGGUGGCGAAGGCGGCUCUCUGGUCCACAACUGACGCUGAGGUGCGAAAGCUAGGGGAGCAAACGGG